CACGUUACACACUAAAUCAUAGCCAAUGAGGUUUAUCCGAGGCAUGAUUAUUGCUAAUUGAAAAACUAACUUGAUAAACUUAGAACAAAUCACUUCUCUUUAUUUAUAAAGAUAUGACCCUGAACACACCUACUUGGCAACUAUAGUUCA
rnacentral:snRNA from 1 species